rnacentral:rRNA from 1 species
CCUACGGAGGCAGCAGUAAGGAAUAUUGGUCAAUGGACGCAAGUCUGAACCAGCCAUGCCGCGUGCAGGAUGACGGCCCUCUGGGUUGUAAACUGCUUUUAUACGGGAAGAAACCUCUGGUUGCGAUCAGAGCUGACGGUACCGUAAGAAUAAGGACCGGCUAACUUCGUGCCAGCAGCCGCGGUAAUACGAAGGGUCCAAGCGUUAUCCGGAUUUAUUGGGUUUAAAGGGUGCGUAGGCGGCUUAUUAAGUCAGUGGUGAAAGACUUCAGCUUAACUGAAGAACUGCCAUUGAUACUGAUGAGCUUGAAUAUACUUGAGGUGGGCGGAAUGUGUCAUGUAGCGGUGAAAUGCUUAGAUAUGACACAGAACACCGAUUGCGAAGGCAGCUCGCUAAAGUAUGAUUGACGCUGAUGCACGAAAGCGUGGGGAGCGAACAGGAUUAGAUACCCUGGUAGUCCACGCCCUAAACGUUGAUAACUCGAUGUGUGCGAUAUACAGUACGCGUCCAAGCGAAAGCAUUAAGUUAUCCACCUGGGAAGUACGGUCGCAAGAUUAGUAACGUACAAGAAGUAGUAGACGCGAGAGACGCGACGGACGACGACGACGGAGGGAGGAG